UACGAAGGGGGCUAGCGUUGUUCGGAAUUACUGGGCGUAAAGCGUGCGCAGGCGGCCAUCCAAGUCAGUGGUGAAAGCCCGGAGCUCAACUCCGGAAAUGCCAUUGAAACUGUGAGACUGGAGUACGAGAGAGGUGAGUGGAAUUCCCAGUGUAGAGGUGAAAUUCGUAGAUAUUGGGAAGAACACCGGUGGCGAAGGCGGCUCACUGGCUCGUAACUGACGCUCAGGCGCGACAGCGUGGGGAUCAAACAGG
rnacentral:rRNA from 1 species